ACGUAGGGUGCGAGCGUUAAUCGGAAUUACUGGGCGUAAAGCGUGCGCAGGCGGUUCGUUGUGUCGGUGGUGAAAGCCCCGGGCUUAACCUGGGAAUGGCCGUCGAAACUGGCGAACUGGAGUGUGGCAGAGGGGGGUGGAAUUCCGCGUGUAGCAGUGAAAUGCGUAGAGAUGCGGAGGAACACCGAUGGCGAAGGCGGCAUCCUGGACCGGCAUUGACGCUGAGGCGCGAAAGCCAGGGGAGCAAACGGGA
rnacentral:rRNA from 1 species